GUUAAGCGACUAAGCGUACACGGUGGAUGCCCUGGCAGUCAGAGGCGAUGAAGGACGUGCUAAUCUGCGAUAAGCGUCGGUAAGGUGAUAUGAACCGUUAUAACCGGCGAUUUCCGAAUGGGGAAACCCAGUGUGAUUCGUCACACUAUCAUUAACUGAAUCCAUAGGUUAAUGAGGCGAACCGGGGGAACUGAAACAUCUAAGUACCCCGAGGAAAAGAAAUCAACCGAGAUUCCCCCAGUAGCGGCGAGCGAACGGGGAGGAGCCCAGAGCCUGAAUCAGUGUGUGUGUUAGUGGAAGCGUCUGGAAAGGCGCGCGAUACAGGGUGACAGCCCCGUACACAAAAAUGCACAUACUGUGAGCUCGAUGAGUAGGGCGGGACACGUGGUAUCCUGUCUGAAUAUGGGGGGACCAUCCUCCAAGGCUAAAUACUCCUGACUGACCGAUAGUGAACCAGUACCGUGAGGGAAAGGCGAAAAGAACCCCGGCGAGGGGAGUGAAAAAGAACCUGAAACCGUGUACGUACAAGCAGUGGGAGCCUCUUUAUGGGGUGACUGCGUACCUUUUGUAUAAUGGGUCAGCGACUUAUAUUCUGUAGCAAGGUUAACCGAAUAGGGGAGCCGAAGGGAAACCGAGUCUUAACUGGGCGUUAAGUUGCAGGGUAUAGACCCGAAACCCGGUGAUCUAGCCAUGGGCAGGUUGAAGGUUGGGUAACACUAACUGGAGGACCGAACCGACUAAUGUUGAAAAAUUAGCGGAUGACUUGUGGCUGGGGGUGAAAGGCCAAUCAAACCGGGAGAUAGCUGGUUCUCCCCGAAAGCUAUUUAGGUAGCGCCUCGUGAAUUCAUCUCCGGGGGUAGAGCACUGUUUCGGCAAGGGGGUCAUCCCGACUUACCAACCCGAUGCAAACUGCGAAUACCGGAGAAUGUUAUCACGGGAGACACACGGCGGGUGCUAACGUCCGUCGUGAAGAGGGAAACAACCCAGACCGCCAGCUAAGGUCCCAAAGUCAUGGUUAAGUGGGAAACGAUGUGGGAAGGCCCAGACAGCCAGGAUGUUGGCUUAGAAGCAGCCAUCAUUUAAAGAAAGCGUAAUAGCUCACUGGUCGAGUCGGCCUGCGCGGAAGAUGUAACGGGGCUAAACCAUGCACCGAAGCUGCGGCAGCGACACUGUGUGUUGUUGGGUAGGGGAGCGUUCUGUAAGCCUG
rnacentral:rRNA from 1 species